rnacentral:rRNA from 1 species
GUGCAGCAGUCGCGAAUCCUUCGCAAUGCAGGAAACUGCGACGAGGGAACUCCAAGUGCCUACGCUCAGCGUAGGCUGUUCUCAAGCCUAGAAAGCUUGAGGAGUAAGGGCUGGGUAAGACGGGUGCCAUCUGUGGUAGCAGUCAAUAGAUUCGAUUUGUUACUGCAAGGCAUAAGCCGCCGCGGUAAUACCCGCAGCCCAAGUGGUGGCCGCUUUUAUUGGGCCUAAAGCGUCCGUAGCCGGCCCGGUAAAUGCCUGGGUAAAUCGUGGAGCCCAACUUCACGAAUUCCGGGUAGACUGCCGAGCUCGGGGACCGGAAGAGGGAGAGGGUACUUCGAGGGGUAGGGGUGAAAAUUUCCUUUCCAUUAACGCUUUGCGCGAAGCGG